rnacentral:rRNA from 1 species
CGAUAGGCUUAACACAUGCAAGUCGAGGGGCAGCAUGGUCUUAGCUUGCUAAGACUGAUGGCGACCGGCGCACGGGUGCGUAACGCGUAUGCAACUUGCCUCACAGAGGGGGAUAACCCGUCGAAAGACGGACUAAUACCGCGUACACUCCAGCUUGGGGGCAUCCAAGCUAGAGGAAAUGAAAUUCGCUGUGAGAUAGGCAUGCGUCCCAUUAGCUAGUUGGUGAGGUAACAGCUCACCAAGGCGACGAUGGGUAGGGGAACUGAGAGGUUGAACCCCCACACUGGUACUGAGACACGGACCAGACUCCUACGGGAGGCAGCAGUGAGGAAUAUUGGUCAAUGGGCGAGAGCCUGAACCAGCCAAGUCGCGUGAAGGAUGACUGUCUUAUGGAUUGUAAACUUCUUUUAUACGGGAAUAACAAGAGUCACGUGUGGCUCCCUGCAUGUACCGUAUGAAUAAGCAUCGGCUAACUCCGUG